rnacentral:rRNA from 1 species
UACGUAGGGGGCUAGCGUUGUCCGGAAUCAUUGGGCGUAAAGAGCGUGUAGGUUGCUCGGUAAGUCCGCUGUAAAAGUCAAAGGCUCAACCUUUGAAAGCCGAUGGAUACUGCAGGACUAGAGUACGGAAGAGGCGAGUGGAAUUCCUGGUGUAGCGGUGGAAUGCGCAGAUAUCAGGAGGAACACCAAUAGCGAAGGCAGCUCGCUGGGACGUUACUGACACUGAGGCGCGAAAGCGUGGGGAGCGAACAGG